UGGGGGAUGCUUAUAAAACCUGAAAAGAUGAAUCUUGGCAUCUGGCUGAAAUGAGAAGACCAAUUAGCAUUUCGUCCCAUUUCAGCCACAAAGGCCCAAAUGAAGAAAAACAUUUAAGCCUUUGUUUGGGCAAGGAAGGAAAAUGGAACACAAAUUUGUUUCUUUUAAGUGUGUUUGAAUGGAAGAUGGAGGGAAGAUUUAUAAAGUAGGCUCUGAUAAAAGGAAACAAAAUCUCACAAUCCACUAAUUUGGCGAGUUGAAAAAAUAAGAAGCCUUCAAAAACCUUAACUCCAGACCUUCCUCCCAAACAAAAUUAAUAUUUUAAAAACCUAUUCCUUACUUCCUUAUCUCCAAACAAGUUCAUUAGAUGUGAGUCCCAACCCCAUUUUCUUUCCCCCUCCUCCCAAAAGAAGGUAAGCAAUUUCUGUGACUUCAUGAAAUAAGCAACGUGCUUGAUCGGCAGAAUCAGGGAAUAAAAUAUCAUUUUAGCAUUUAAAUGGGGGAUGCAAACAUAAGAAAAUCUCUGGUUUACACCUAAGCAUGCCUGGUGUGAGGACAGCUUCGAAAGCAUCCAUUCUAUAAAUCCGGGAUUCCAAAUUCUUAGGAACAGCCUAACUGUCAAUUGAUUCAAAUGAAUAGACCUAAGAACAAAAGCCAUUCAAAGGUCUUUGGAAUCAAAUAAAAAUGAAAAGAAAAUGAUGAAGAUGCACAGACAAAAAGACAACCAAUCAACCUUGCAACAUUCACCAGGAGCCAUUCAACCACGGACAUACGAAAUCUCCAAGAUAAUGUGGACUCAGAAAAAAUGAUACCUUUUGCCACUGACCACCCAACAAGCUGUUCAUCAGAAUUGGUCUUUUGUCUACUGCCCUUGCAGAGAUUUGUAGGUGCAUCCAAACAUAAUGAUCCCAUCAGACUGUAAACCAAACAAUACCUGGCUUUAUUACAUUGCACCCGCUGAUGAGAAAACCCUUGUCCAGUAACACCCCCCUUCAUUGGGGUCUAUAAAAUCACACCACAUACCUCGCCUCCAAUACCCACUGCUUUCUCCUUUUACCUCUUCUACCUUUUCUCAAUAACAUAGCUUUCUUCAGCCAUGUUAGAAGGCAAAGCUGUUAUUGGUGAGACUGACAUGCUUCAAACUAUGCAGCAAGAUGCCCUUCACUUAGCUGCAAAGGCCCUUCAUAUCUUCAGUGUCUCUUGGUCGAAUGAUAUAACUUGCUUCAUAAAAAAGGUGAUCUCCUCAAUUAAAUUGACAUUAGGACCCAUACUGAUUCAAUAUUGUGGUUUCGAUGACUAAGGAAAGCACGUCUGAAGCUCUCUUGUUAUCGCAGGAUUUUGACAGGCUGCAUAGACCUGGAUGGCAAUGCAAAGUGGGGACAGAUUUUGGUUCCUUUGUGACGCACUACCAUGGCUACUUCAUCUACUUCUAUAUUGGCAGUCUUGCAAUUCUGUGAUGCGCUGUAAAUCAAUUAGAUGCUUGUUUGCUCCGCUGAACAUUGUUGAUGAAUAAGAUUUGUUUUCAAUGUAUCUUUUUCACUUUCAUAUUCCACAAUUCUCUGCGUGAGAGAACGAGCAGAAGUAAAACAAUGAAUUCAAGUUUCAUGGACCCUUCUCAUCUUCUUUCUGACCAUCCAUAUCAUAAAUAUGGAUUGCAUCAUGGCUUCUGUGGAACAUUAUAAACCUGAAAGAGUGAGGACAGAAGGAGGGGCAUCUCUUCUUGGCCCUGCAACAGAACGGUAAACAUAAACUUUAUCAGCCUGACUGUCAUCACUCCCCUCCUCCUUCAUUACCUCCACAUUCAAUCUUGGCAUCUCCCUUGCUAAUUGCCGACAGCCAUUCAUUGUCACAUUGCAGGAUGACAUCCAAAGUGACCUCAUAGAUUCGUACUUCUCCAAACCCGAGAGAAGUGUUGCAUUUCCAAAUGGGCAAUCCCUUAUCUCAAGUUUCCUCAACUUUGGACAACCUCCCAGCACACAUUGCAUCCCCCAGUCACUGCUGCCAGCAAAAGCUACUGAAAGAGUUUCCAAAUUUUUGGCAUACCUCCCAAUAUACACAAAUGUCAGGUCAGUCAAGAGGCCUGAAACUGAAAGUCUCUGAAGUUUUGAGCAAGUCUUCACAACUGCACCGAAAGCCUCAUCCAUGGGUUCAUUUGUCAUGUAAUCUGGUUGCCCUGGAUUCAUAAUGCAGAGACGGAAGUGGGUGAAAUUUGGGCAGUUUUGCACAAUUGUUGCUACUGCAGCAUUAGUCAUCUGCCGGCAAAAAUAGAGAACGUAGUGAAGUCUCCGACAACCAUAAGACACUGCAACAAACCCUGCUUCAGUCACCCCACGGAUAAUUUCCUCAUCAAAGGGAUCAGCAGGGAAGACACGGAGUUCCUCCAGCAAAGGACAGUUUGAUCCAACAGCCUCCAGCCCUUUGUCCUCUACAGUGUCCAGGACCCAUAGACGACGAAGUUGUGGGCAGUGACGAAGAAGAUUAGCAAGUUCAUGACUUUGCAAAGCAGCAUAGCCUAAAUUUAAGAAAGUCAAGUUCGUACAAGCUGGAUAGAGAACUGGUAAAUAAGGUGCCGUCGCUUCCCAUAAACCAGAAAGGGUUUCUAAGCUCUUGCAAUGGUUGAAUGUAUUUUCAAGUUCAGUGUACUGGCAGCCAGUGAGCUCUUGUGAAAAAGAGCCUGUACCAAUCUCUGUUAAUUGUGGGGUGCAAAAAAGCAGCCUUUGCAGUUGUUCCAAAGAAACGUUUUUGUUGACCUUCAGAACCUUUAAUGAUUUGCACCUGCUAACUAGUUUCUCAAGCGCAUCAAAAUUGACAUCACUAUUCAGGUUGGCAAAGUUAAGUACUUCCAAUGAUGAAAAGUUUUCAGGAAAGCAGCUCAACCAGUUGCCACUCUUAUCGUCAAUGCCAUUUUCCUGUAUGUCAAGCUCAGUCAAGUUCCUAAAACCAAACAAGAAUUAGAUGUUCCCUCAUAUACAAGAAAUCCAACACACAUAAUCAAAGAUAGAAGACAUCAAUAAAGACAAUCAAUAAAUGGUAAAAAAAACCCCUAAGUAUCACAAAUCCUGAAUCAGGGAUCUAUAAAUUUAUGAGACUUAUAGAAACAUAAACAAAAGAAAACGAUCGAUAGCUGCAUGUAAAGUGCUCAUCACUCUAUCGUCAUCAUUUUUUUUUAUUGUACAAUUUACAAUUCUGUUGAGCUAUGUGAACUUGAAAGGAAAAGGAUAGUAUAAACUAAAGUAAUUGAGCACAUAAUGCAGGCUAAAUUCACACAAUAACAUUCGAUUGUCCAGUCCAUGCCAAGGGAUGACUUCAGAACCAAUGAUAUUGAUCUAGCGGAAUUAAUACAUAAAGAUUGGCAGCAUUAGCUGAAGGUACAUCACCACAAAGUUCUCCAGUAAAUCAAGUUUGCCCACUGAAAACUGUAAGUAGCUUGAUUAUGUAUUACUAGAAAAAGUAUAAUUGAUGAAUAUCAACCUUCACAAAAAAUAUUACCAACAUCUCCAGUUCUCCACUGGUCUCUUCCAUAUGAUGCUAAACCACAUCCAAUGAAAUGACCAUGCAUUGCAUAUAUGUAAGCAUCAACAGCAGGGUUUCCAAGGUUCACCAAACAAAUUCUGUAUGUAAAAAUGUUGAAAGCUGACCAGAACUCAUUUGUGCUGAUAUCCCAAAUGCUUCCCUUUGUUUUAUUCUACUUCUUUCUAAUAUUCUUCAGUCCAAGUAGAUAUUGACAGAAAUAACUCUUACUAUUUGUCACCGCCUAGAAGAUAACCAACGUUAAAAAAAGCAUCGCCAAUGCAUAGGCGUAGCUAUGCAGUGGAUGACAAAUCGACGAGGAUUAUGCCAUCCAACAAAUGCAUUUUUACAGGUCAAAUGUCACAUCAGAACAAAAGAGAAAUAAAGCAUAACAAAGCACAGGAGAAAGGAAAUGGAAAAGUAGAACCACUUGUAAUGCCAUUAAGCCUCUGCUUUUCCGAUAACAAAAACGGAGAUAAAUUGUUCAAAUCCAUAAGCAAAAUAGCCAGAAGAUAUUUGAUUUACAGUUGUGGAUAAUUACAUCGGAGAAGUCCUCAGAUCUCCAGAGAUUUUUAAGGAAGAAAAAACUGAAAUAAAUUUCAAACUCAUGAAUUGCUGAUGGGGGGAUUAAGAGAGAGAGAGAGAGAGAGACAUUUAAAUCAGCUGUCAUUCCUUGAAGUAGAUGUGCUAAGUGAGCAUAUUCUUAGUAUUAGUUUCUUAAUUGGAUGUGCUGCAUUUAUAUAAUGAAGUAGAGAAUAGAGUUUUUCUGUUAAGAACUGGAGCUUGACAUCACAAGCUUAUCUGCAAACCUUCUGUGUUGCAACUUUGUCCAUGGUUAAGGGGUAGCCAAUUCUUUGAAGGC
rnacentral:misc_RNA from 1 species